AGGGUUUGAUUCUGGCUCAGGAUGAACGCUGGCGGCGUGCUUAACACAUGCAAGUCGAACGGGAAACCUAUUAUUGAAACUUCGGUCGAUUUAAUUUGUUUCUACCGGCGCACGGGUGAGUAACGCGUAUCCAACCUGCCCAUGGCUGGGGGAUAACCUUGCGAAAGCAAGCCUAAUACCCCAUGGUCUCCCUCCGGGGCAUCCCGGCGGGAGUAAAGGAGCGAUCCGGCGAUGGAUGGGGAUGCGUCCGAUUAGCUUGCCGGUGGGGUGACGGCCCACCGGGGCGACGAUCGGUAGGGGUUCUGAGAGGAAGGUCCCCCACACUGGAACUGAGACACGGUCCAG
rnacentral:rRNA from 1 species